rfam:Chloroflexi bacterium RIFCSPLOWO2_12_FTLL_71_12 rifcsplowo2_12_scaffold_23812, whole genome shotgun sequence.
GCCGACGUGGCUCAGUGGUAGAGCAGUGGUUUCGUAAACCGCAGGUCGUGGGUUCGAUCCCCACCGUCGGCU